rnacentral:rRNA from 1 species
GGUUCAUUCAAAUUUCUGCCCUAUCAACUUUCGCUGGUAGGAUAGAGGCCUACCAUGGUUUUAACGGGUAACGGCGAAUUAGGGUUCGAUUCCGGAGAGGGAGCCUGAGAAACGGCUACCACAUCUAAGGAAGGCAGCAGGCGCGCAAAUUACCCAAUCCUGAUCAGGGAGGUAGUGACAAUAAAUAACAAUCCAGGACUUCGGUUUUGGAAUUGGAAUGAGAACAAUUUAAAUCCCUUAACGAGGAACAAUUGGAGGGCAAGUCUGGUGCCAGCAGCCGCGGUAAUUCCAGCUCCAAUAGCGUAUAUUAAAGUUGUUGCAGUUAAAUAGCUCGUAGUUG